UGACUUACCUGAUUGACGCGUGUUCUUCGUUGAGCAUUUCUAUACCAAUAGCGUGUCCACAAAUACUGAUUUUUCUCAUUUAAACGCACUCGCGCUGACACG